rnacentral:rRNA from 1 species
AUUGAACGCUGGCGGCAUGCUUUACACAUGCAAGUCGAACGGUAACAGGCCGCAAGGUGCUGACGAGUGGCGAACGGGUGAGUAAUGCAUCGGAACGUGCCCAGUCGUGGGGGAUAACGCAGCGAAAGCUGUGCUAAUACCGCAUACGAUCUGUGGAUGAAAGCGGGGGACCGUACGGCCUCGCGCGAUUGGAGCGGCCGAUGUCAGAUUAGGUAGUUGGUGAGGUAAAGGCCCACCAAGCCAACGAUCUGUAGCUGGUCUGAGAGGACGACCAGCCACACUGGGACUGGGACACGGCCGAGACUCGUCCGGGAGGCAGCAGGGGGGAAUUUUGGACAAUGGGCGCAAGCCUGAUCCAGCAAUGCCGCGUGCAGGAAGAAGGCCUUCGGGUUGUAAACCGCUUUUGUCAGGGAAGAAACGCUCCGGGCUAAUACCCUGGGGUAAUGACGGUACCUGAAGAAUAAGCACCGGCUAACUACGUGCCAGCCGCCGCAGUAAAAC